ensembl:snRNA U6 U6 spliceosomal RNA
AUGCUCGCUUUGGCAGCAUAUAUACUAAAUUUAGAAUGAUACAGAGAAGAUUAGCAUGGCCCCUAUGCAAGGAUGACAUGCAAAUUUAUGAAGUGUUCCAUAUAUUU